rnacentral:rRNA from 1 species
UACGUACAAGCAGUGGGAGCACCCUUUGGGUGUGACUGCGUACCUUUUGUAUAAUGGGUCAGCGACUUAUAUUCUGUAGCAAGGUUAACCGAAUAGGGGAGCCGGAGGGAAACCGAGUCUUAAUUGGGCGUUAAGUUGCAGGGUAUAGACCCGAAACCCGGUGAUCUAGCCAUGGGCAGGUUGAAGGUUGGGUAACACUAACUGGAGGACCGAACCGACUAAUGUUGAAAAAUUAGCGGAUGACCUGUGGCUGGGGGUGAAAGGCCAAUCAAACCGGGAGAUAGCUGGUUCUCCCCGAAAGCUAUUUAGGUAGCGCCUCGUGAAUUCAUCUCCGGGGGUAGAGCACUGUUUCGGCUAGGGGGCCAUCCCGGCUUACCAACCCGAUGCAAACUGCGAAUACCGGAGAAUGUUAUCACGGGAGACACACGGCGGGUGCUAACGUCCGUCGUGAAGAGGGAAACAACCCAGACCGCCAGCUAAGGUCCCAAAGUCAUGGUUAAGUGGGAAACGAUGUGGGAAGGCCCAGACAGCCAGGAUGUUGGCUUAGAAGCAGCCAUCAUUUAAAGAAAGCGUAAUAGCUCACUGGUCGAGUCGGCCUGCGCGGAAGAUGUAACGGGGCUAAACCAUGCACCGAAGCUGCGGCAGCGACACUGUGUGUUGUUGGGUAGGGGAGCGUUCUGUAAGCCUGCGAAGGUGGCCUGUGAGGGUUGCUGGAGGUAUCAGAAGUGCGAAUGCUGACAUAAGUAACGAUAAAGCGGGUGAAAAGCCCGCUCGCCGGAAGACCAAGGGUUCCUGUCCAACGUUAAUCGGGGCAGGGUGAGUCGACCCCUAAGGCGAGGCCGAAAGGCGUAGUCGAUGGGAAACGGGUUAAUAUUCCCGUACUUGGUGUUACUGCGAAGGGGGGACGGAGAAGGCUAUGUUGGCCGGGCGACGGUUGUCCCGGUUUAAGCGUGUAGGUGUGUGUUCCAGGUAAAUCCGGUUCACUUUAACACUGAGGCGUGACGACGAGGCACUACGGUGCUGAAGCAACAAAUGCCCUGCUUCCAGGAAAAGCCUCUAAGCAUCAGGUAACAUCAAAUCGUACCCCAAACCGACACAGGUGGUCAGGUAGAGAAUACCAAGGCGCUUGAGAGAACUCGGGUGAAGGAACUAGGCAAAAUGGUGCCGUAACUUCGGGAGAAGGCACGCUGACACGUAGGUGAAGUGAUUUACUCAUGGAGCUGAAGUCAGUCGAAGAUACCAGCUGGCUGCAACUGUUUAUUAAAAACACAGCACUGUGCAAACACGAAAGUGGACGUAUACGGUGUGACGCCUGCCCGGUGCCGGAAGGUUAAUUGAUGGGGUCAGCGCAAGCGAAGCUCCUGAUCGAAGCCCCGGUAAACGGCGGCCGUAACUAUAACGGUCCUAAGGUAGCGAAAUUCCUUGUCGGGUAAGUUCCGACCUGCACGAAUGGCGUAAUGAUGGCCAGGCUGUCUCCACCCGAGACUCAGUGAAAUUGAACUCGCUGUGAAGAUGCAGUGUACCCGCGGCAAGACGGAAAGACCCCGUGAACCUUUACUAUAGCUUGACACUGAACAUUGAGCCUUGAUGUGUAGGAUAGGUGGGAGGCUUUGAAGUGUGGACGCCAGUCUGCAUGGAGCCGACCUUGAAAUACCACCCUUUAAUGUUUGAUGUUCUAACGUGGACCCGUUACCCGGGUUGCGGACAGUGUCUGGUGGGUAGUUUGACUGGGGCGGUCUCCUCCUAAAGAGUAACGGAGGAGCACGAAGGUUGGCUAAUCCUGGUCGGACAUCAGGAGGUUAGUGCAAUGGCAUAAGCCAGCUUGACUGCGAGCGUGACGGCGCGAGCAGGUGCGAAAGCAGGUCAUAGUGAUCCGGUGGUUCUGAAUGGAAGGGCCAUCGCUCAACGGAUAAAAGGUACUCCGGGGAUAACAGGCUGAUACCGCCCAAGAGUUCAUAUCGACGGCGGUGUUUGGCACCUCGAUGUCGGCUCAUCACAUCCUGGGGCUGAAGUAGGUCCCAAGGGUAUGGCUGUUCGCCAUUUAAAGUGGUACGCGAGCUGGGUUUAGAACGUCGUGAGACAGUUCGGUCCCUAUCUGCCGUGGGCGCUGGAGAACUGAGGGGGGCUGCUCCUAGUACGAGAGGACCGGAGUGGACGCAUCACUGGUGUUCGGGUUGUCAUGCCAAUGGCACUGCCCGGUAGCUAAAUGCGGAAGAGAUAAGUGCUGAAAGCAUCUAAGCACGAAACUUGCCCCGAGAUGAGUUCUCCCUGAGACUUAGAGUCUCCUGAAGGAACGUUGAAGACGACGACGUUGAUAGGCCGGGUGUGUAAGCGCAGCGAUGCGUUGAGCUAACCGGUACUAAUGAACCGUGAGGCUUAACCUUACAACGCCGAAG